UACGGGGGGAGCAAGCGUUGUUCGGAUUUACUGGGCGUAAAGGGCGCGUAGGCGGCCAACUAAGUCGAACGUGAAAUCCCCGGGCUUAACCCGGGAACUGCGUCCGAUACUGGAAGGCUUGAAUCCGGGAGAGGGAUGCGGAAUUCCAGGUGUAGCGGUGAAAUGCGUAGAUAUCUGGAGGAACACCGGUGGCGAAGGCGGCAUCCUGGACCGGCAUUGACGCUGAGGCGCGAAAGCCAGGGGAGCAAACGGG
rnacentral:rRNA from 1 species